CUAGUGGAAACCUGUUUAAUAACAGAUCUCAGUGUUCCCCCAGUGGAAACCAGUUUAAAGGUAACAGAUCUCAGUGUUCCCCAGUGGAAACCAGUUUAAUAACAGAUCUCAGUGUUCCCCAGUGGAAACCAGUUUAAAGGUAACAGAUCUCAGUGUUCCCCCAGUGGAAACCAGUUUAAAGGUAACAGAUCUCAGUGUUCCCCUAGUGGAAACCAGUUUAAUAACAGAUCUCAGUGUUCCCCCAGUGGAAACCAGUUUAAAGGUAACAGAUCUCAGUGUUCCCCUAGUGGAAACCAGUUUAAUAACAGAUCUCAGUGUUCCCCAGUGGAAACCAGUUUAAAGGUAACAGAUCUCAGUGUUCCCCAGUGGAAACCAGUUUAAAGGUAACAGAUCUCAGUGUUCCCUAGUGGAAACCUGUUUAAAGGUAACAGAUCUCAGUGUUCCCCAGUGGAAACCAGUUUAAAUGUAACAGAUCUCAGUGUUCCCCAGUGGAAACCAGUUUAAAGGUAACAGAUCUCAGUGUUCCCCAGUGGAAACCAGUUUAAAGGUAACAGAUCUCAGUGUUCCCCCAGUGGAAACCUGUUUAAAGGUAACAGAUCUCAGUGUUCCCCCAGUGGAAACCUGUUUAAAGGUAACAGAUCUCAGUGUUCCCCAGUGGAAACCAGUUUAAAGGUAACAGAUCUCAGUGUUCCCCAGUGGAAACCAGUUUAAUAACAGAUCUCAGUGUUCCCCAGUGGAAACCAGUUUAAAGGUAACAGAUCUCAGUGUUCCCCAGUGGAAACCAGUUUAAAGGUAACAGAUCUCAGUGUUCCCCCAGUGGAAACCUGUUUAAUAACAGAUCUCAGUGUUCCCCCAGUGGAAACCUGUUUAAUAACAGAUCUCAGUGUUCCCCAGUGGAAACCAGUUUAAUAACAGAUCUCAGUGUUCCCCAGUGGAAACCAGUUUAAAGGUAACAGAUCUCAGUGUUCCCCUAGUGGAAACCAGUUUAAAGGUAACAGAUCUCAGUGUUCCCCAGUGGAAACCAGUUUAAUAACAGAUCUCAGUGUUCCCCAG